CAGCGGGAGGCCCUGGCUCUGGAGUGGAAAGAAGGAGCCCACUCCCCCCGGCCGGAGCCAGGUUCCCUUUUCCAGCGCAGGCAGCAAGAGUGUCCACCCGCCAUGGGGGCUCUGGGCAGGAUAUCAUCGUAUACUACUAACACGGCUGCUACUCUGAAGCCUCUAUGGGAGUCCAGCAAUGAGACCCUCCCCCCACGUCCUCUCCAAGCUGUAGGGGGGAGAGCUUGGGGUGCCCUGCCUGGGGGUCACAUUCCCUUGGGCCAGACCCCCUCUCCCUAGUCCCUCUGCCAAUCAAUGAGAAAUAAAGGUGUUUUCUUUGA